UUACGUCGGACUGACGGCGUUCCUAUUGAAGAAUGAGCCAACGAGUUUAUUUAUGCGGCAAGCCUAAGGUCGUUAAGACCGGAGGCGUAGUGAAAGCAAGGGUUAAUCGCCCGAUUUAGUCGUAUAAAUAAGACCCGAAGCCAGGUGACCUAGCCAUAGCCAGGGUGAACCCAGCGUAACAACUGGGGGAGGCCCGAACCCGUGAGCCGUGCAAAACUUUGGGAUGAGCUGUGGUUAGCGGAGAAAUUCCAAUCGAACUUGGCAAUAGCUGGUUCUCCUCGAAAUAGCUUUAGGGCUAGCCUUAUCGUUGCGCCCGGGGGUAGAGCACUGAAUGGGUGUGGAUGGAGCGAUCCUACCUCAUCCAACCAAACUCCGAAUACCGGGUUAGCUUUAAGCGAUAGGAGUCAGACUGUGGGGGCUAAGCUCCAUUAGUCAAAAGGGAUACAGCCCAGAUCGUCAUCUAAGGUCCCUAAAUCUAGAUUAAGUGUAAAAGGUGGUGACAUGACUUAUACAACCAGGAGGUUGGCUUAGAAGCAGCCAUCCUUUAAAGAAAGCGUAACAGCUCACUGGUCCAGUUGUCUUGCGCCGAAAAUUUAUCGGGGCUAAAAUCUAGUACCGAAGAUACGAACUUUGAUGGUUUUCCAUCGAAGUGGUAGAGGAGUAUUCUUUGUCCACUGAAGUCGGACCCGCGAGGGCCGGUGGAGGGCAAAGAAGUAAGAAUGUUGGCAUAAGUAGCACAAAGGCGGGUGAGAACCCCGCCCACCGUAAGCCUAAGGUUUCCUGGGCAACGCAAAUCGACCCAGGGUUAGUCGAUCCUAAGCUGAGGCCGAAAGGCGUAGGCGAUGGAAGAGCAGGUUAAUAUUCCAGCACUGCUUAUGGUUUUCGAUGGGGUGACGCAUUUAUAGAGGUAGAACGUUCUAUGGUAUGGACGUUGCUGGCUAAAAAGCGUGAUAGCAGGCAAAUCCGCUAUCAUCAGCGCUUAGGCCGGCAAAAGGUUGAAAGCU
rnacentral:rRNA from 1 species